rnacentral:lncRNA from 1 species
ACUUGACUGAGUGGAUACAUCUCCACGUGUGGAGGUGCUGGCUCCACCACUAUCACUAGCAGGCCUACUGGACUGAGUGGGUACUGGCUCCACCACUAUCACUAGCAGGUCUACUGGACUGACUGGACACAUCUCCACCACUAUCACUAGCAGGUCUACUGGACUGAGUGGAUACAUCUCCACCACUAUCACUAGCAGGUCUACUGGACUGAGUGGAUACAUCUCCACCACUAUCACUAGCAGGUCUACUGGACUGAGUGGAUACAUCCCCACCACUAUCACUAGCAGGUCUACUGGACUGAGUGGAUACAUCUCCACCACUAACACUAGCAGGUCUACUGGACUGAGUGGAUACAUCUCCACCACUAUCACUAGCAGGUCUACUGGACUGAGUGGAUACAUAUCCACCACUAUCACUAGCAGGCCUACUGGACUGAGUGGAUACAUCUCCAUGUGUGGAGGUACUGGCUCCACCACUAUCACUAGCAGGUCUACUGGACUGAGUGGAUACAUCUCCACCACUAUCACUAGCAGGCCUACUGGACUGAGUGGAUACAUCUCCACGUGUGGAGGUGCUGGCUCCACCACUAUCACUAGCAUGUCUACUUGACUGAGUGGAUACAUCUCCACGUGUGGAGGUGCUGUCUCCACCACUAUCACUAGCAGGCCUACUGGACUGAGUGGGUACUGGCUCCACCACUAUCACUAGCAGGUCUACUGGACUGACUGGACACAUCUCCACCACUAUCACUAGCAGGUCUACUGGACUGAGUGGAUACAUCCCCACCACUAUCACUAGCAGGUCUACUGGACUGAGUGGUUACAUCCCCA